UACGUAGGGUGCGGGCGUUGUCCGGAAUUAUUGGGCGUAAAGAGCUUGUAGGCGGUUUGUCGCGUCUGCUGUGAAAAUCCGGGGCUCAACCCCGGACUUGCAGUGGGUACGGGCAGACUAGAGUGUGGUAGGGGAGACUGGAAUUCCUGGUGUAGCGGUGAAAUGCGCAGAUAUCAGGAGGAACACCGAUGGCGAAGGCAGGUCUCUGGGCCACUACUGACGCUGAGAAGCGAAAGCAUGGGGAGCGAACAGG
rnacentral:rRNA from 1 species